UGUGAUAGCCUACACAGAUGUGACCC
rnacentral:piRNA from 1 species